rnacentral:rRNA from 1 species
UACGUAGGGGGCAAGCGUUGUCCGGAAUUAUUGGGCGUAAAGGGCGCGUAGGCGGAUAGUUAAGUCCGGUGUGAAAGAUCAGGGCUCAACCCUGAGAGUGCAUCGGAAACUGGUUAUCUUGAGGACAGGAGAGGAAAGUGGAAUUCCACGUGUAGCGGUGAAAUGCGUAGAUAUGUGGAGGAACACCAGUGGCGAAGGCGACUUUCUGGACUGUAACUGACGCUGAGGCGCGAAAGCGUGGGGAGCAAACAGGAUUAGAUACCCUGGUAGUCCACGCUGUAAACGAUGAGUGCUAGGUGUAGAGGGUAUCGACCCCUUCUGUGCCGCAGUUAACACAAUAAGCACUCCGCCUGGGGAGUACGGCCGCAAGGUUGAA